AUGAAUUACAAUUAGACUAUAAGUUGACUUCAUGAUUUUACUGAAUUUUACCUCCUCAAUCCAUGGACCUCCCUCUCUCUAAACCUAACUUAUAUUUAGCUUUUGCAGGAGGUUUAGGCGGGCCCUCUUCUUGGUGUCGCUUUAAUGUCAGUCUCCAAAUACUUAAUUUAACAGUUCCCAUAUUUCAUACUCUUUAUUAGUAGGGAACAUCAAGUUACAUUCUUUAGAUCUGCUUAUCCAUUUAAGUAUAAGAAUUAAGUUGGUCUAUUUUUAUAGACAAUGUUCCAAAGGAUCUAUGGUCGUGGCAUAAAAUGAUCUUUUUCAAGAAGUAGUUUUAAUGAUGUAGUUUUGCGGCCAAUCCUCUCCUUGUGGGCUAGCUUUUGCGAUUGAGUUACUCUCAGGUGUUAUACCUUUAUAGUUUUCACCUUAAUGUUGUGCAACAUGAGUAUGAAAAAGGUUCAAGUUAGUUACUCCGCCUCAUACUUCCUUCACUUUUUGAAUUGUUCCAGUUUGGGCGUUGAAGAAUAGAAUUCCGAAUAAUGGUUCUAGGCUCUGUGGUUAUCAUGUGCUUUCUUAUGUUAGUUACUUCUUUCAUUCCUUUUGGGAAACAAUAUGUCAAAUUUUGAAGAGCUCUUUCAUUCCUUGGCGGUAGAAGAGUUCAACUUCUACCAAUCUACUCAGCACAAAGAAUUAAAAUAACUGAGAGGUACAUUCCUUAAACAAAUGCAGCUAAGUUUCUGUAAAUCCAUCCUCACAUAGACAACAAGUGCUACCAUUUAUUAAUAACUGAAAAAUAUAGGAACUGGAUCAGUUUCAAAUGGUAUGUGUUUUCACAUGGUUUACCAGGCGUUGUAGUCCGGCGCAAAAUCUCUCAGGGAUAAUUUUUUAAAGUCUUCUAAAUUGUCUUAUUGAUUUGGCAGUUGCAUUUCUAUUGCCAAAUCAUAAUUCAUAGUAUUGUAGUGUUUCUUUUACUUACCAGUUGUAGCGGAGUAAUAUUUGAUAUAGGAUGCCUUCAUCAAAAAUAUUUGGUAUGGGAUGCUAACAUAUAUCUAUUUUAUUUUUUCUUCAUGUGGAAAAGAGACAAUACAAUUAAUUUUCACAUCAUCAUUUCUAAUUUGAAGUAUUGAAUGGUAAACAAACAAGCAACAUCAAAUAUUAUAUCAACUAAUACAAAGUUAGAACCAGAUAGAAAAAUUCUCAAUUGAAAACAGAUUUUGAUAAUGUGUUUGGACAACAGAUUUCACUAAUAAAGGAUAGAUACAUUCACCACAACACAUUGCUCAAAAGCGCACAGUAUGAUUGAUCGUUAAAUGCUCUUGAUGUGCAUGCUCAAUCAUCACCAUUAUAGUGAUAUUCAAAUGGCAUAUGGUCAUAUCUUUCUGCCAAAUCAAUUGAGGCUUCUCCAAGAAUUAUUUGUUAUGUCAAAAGAAUCAUCUAAGAGAGUAAGGUGCUUUAAAAUGGUACUAGAAACCAAGGUUCCCUCUGUUGGCCCGUGAACAAGAAAAAUAUGCCUUCCAAAUGCAUCUUGACCAAAUCAUAAGCGUCGAGACUCUUAUUGUAGGGAGAGAAUAAAAUUCUGAACAAAAUCAACUUGAGAAAAGACUAAAAAUGUUGUAAACUAACAAGACCUCUGAGCUUGUUGAAAAGACUUAGGAAGAUGUUAAACAAUAACUCCUGUCUAUGAUUUUGCAUCCUUAUUGGGGAAAUGGAGUAAGACACUUAUUUUCCUUGUAUCCGAUGAUGUAAAAUUAUUCUUCCUUGUAACAUUGUGGCUUACUCUACAACUUUAUGUUCAACCUUGUUUAGACAUAUCUUGCCAUAUUGUGCGUGAGAACAAUGAAUUCAUAGGAUAUGACUAUUUGUGUCAUGUGGUUCAUAUUUAGAGAACUCUUAAUGUUGCAAAUGAAAUGAGACUCUUGAUGUUUAUGCUUCUUUCAAAAUGAACCUUAAAAUUUUCCUCAGUAAAUGCCAUUUUGCUUCUGCUCAGAGAGAUUUGCUGUGUUUUUGGCUUUUGCCAAAACCAUUCUGUAAGUUGAGCAGAGUGGUGGUUUCCACCAAACAGAAAGCUGAAGAUACUAAUGCCAUUUUGAGUAAUUCUCCCACAUUUUCAUGUAAGAGAAAAGUGGAGCAAAAGCAGUAGUAUUAAUAAUGGACUGAGCUAACUGGACAACAUACUUACCUGGACGGGAUCAACGGGCGAUCAUGAAGGCCCAUUGCCUAGGUGGUGACCUCCAUUGCACUUUGGAGGGGUGUCAGCCUAAGGUCGGGCCAAGUGGUUGAGCCUACGUAAUAAUUUGUGGCAGUGGGGGCCUGCAUUCGCACGGCCCCUACCCAAUUCAAAGUCUAAAAUUUCUUGUCAGAUAAGAAAUUGGUAAGAGCAAAGAAUCUACUAGCUUAGAGUUCAUGCUUAGUCCAGAUGCAUACUCAAUCAGAUAGAAAUAGCCAGCUGCUCCAAUAUACCACAGCGCAUGCAUUGAGCAGACCCUAAUGUCUUGAGCCCCCGUCCUCAGCCAUCCAAUUAGCUAUUCUGUCUCUAGGGAGGAUACAUUACCUAUUGUGCUCUGUGCCCAACAACGAGCCUAUAGAACAGGUCUUGUUCAAGUAAGGUCGUGCCCUUUCCUUGCACUUCCCUCACUUAAAUAGCAUUCACUGGCUCAGUGUUUUGCCGAUGUGGGACAACGAGAAAUUUUGUUUAGUUGGUAUUCCUUGCCCAUGCCACUUAAAUGCGGAGUCAGGAUUUCAACUUGAUGGUUUAUGUAUAUUAGAACGAUGAUAUCAAGUGUUAAUAAGUGAGUUCUAAACUUAAUAUUUAUACAUAUUUAAUGGAUUUUUUUAACACAAAUAUAUCGUUUAAGCAAAAGCUACUGGGUUCAACUGAACCGUACCCGGACUUGUAGCUCCGCCCCUGUAUUGCUACUAUUUUGAAAUGGAAGCUGACUGUUGAUGUUUAAAAUUUCUAUGGGAUUAUUAAAUAUUUGAGAAAUUCUCAAAGAUGGGAAACAGAAGAAAUUUGGUGUUAAAUAAAUGGGUUGUCUGUAUUAUAAAUGAAACUGCCUGAAAGAAUUCUCUACAUAUUUAUUUAUGUGAAGUUGUAAAUGUUAGCUUUGAAAGUUCAUGUUUUAUUGAUAUGCAAAAAAAUUUUAAAGCCUUCGGCAGAAACGCAAGGUAAGAUUACGUACAAUAGACCCUUGUGGUUGGGCCCUUCCCUGGACCCUACGUAUAGCAAGAGCGUAUAGCAAGAGCAUUAGUACACUGGGCUGUUUUUUUAAUGUUCUUUCAGCUAAAUGGUGAGAUGAAGAAAAUGGAUAUGCAGCUACAAAAAGAAUAAGACAGAAUUAAGCUCUUCUUGAAAGCAAGGGAAGAGGAUCAAGUUGGCCCUUACAAACAGCUUGGUGCUCCCUUAACUGGCAUGUAUAUUCUCGUAUCCAGGGGUGGACGUACGUUGUAUUUUGGGGUACUCCAGCACCCACUAAACUCGACGCGGAACAGGUAUAAUUACAUAGAAAAUAUAGGAAAAUAGGUAUAAAUCAUAUAAAAGCACCCACUAUAACAGAAAGUUGGUUGGGUGCAUUGGCAUUUGGGUUGAUCUUAAGGUCCUUCAUUGGAAGGAGGUUCUGGGUUCGAACCUCAUUGAAGUGAUUUUCUUUUUUAAAAAUUUUAAGCAUCCACUAUCCUUAAAUCCUGGGUCCGCCACUGCUCCGUAUCAUUAAGACUAUCUGUGAGUAGCUUUCACUGUAAGCAUGGUAUCUUACUUACUGGGUGAUGGUGGAAAUGAAAGGGAAAGAUAAGGGUAUUGAAGGAGGGGUAAAAUAAGGUUAGGGUGAUGAGGUAGCGCACCGCAUGGCGUCCACUUCACUCAAAUGCCCGGCCAGUUAUGAUUUUAAUUGUUGUCAUGGUGGACUUCUUAGAGUAAUUUUGUUCGCAGAGUAUACUGGAGGUUAAAUGUAAUCAAUAUUUGAAAGUAAGGGAUUAUCUGGAUUACUUUUACUAUAUUAUCAAAAACUAAGAUAAGUGAUUUCAAAUGUACUGCACUUUUGAAAUGCCUAGAUGUGACUUAGAAUCUAAUGUAACCAUAUGUCAAAAAAGGAGAGAUAAUAAGUCAUAGCUUCAAAGAUCAAAUUUUGUGCUGAAAAUACAAGCCAGCUUCAUUAUUACAUUGGGAUCUUCUAGGUUGUUAAUCUUACGUUUUUACAUUGGAUAGUUAGAACAGCAGUAUGCCUUCAGCAGAUGUGCAGAGGCCCCUUUCAAGAGUUUUGAUUACACUUGCAGUUCGUUUAGAUGUUUAUUUCGAGUGUUUGGUGUAUGUUUGCGUAAACUCCUGGAUGAUCAAUCUCAAGAUAGCUGCUGUUCCUGAACUUGAUUUUUAUGCUUCUUGUAUAUAUUUUGCUCUUGUUGGAUUCUGAAUAUGAGCUUGGUGUUACAGCGUUUGCAGCCAUUAUAUAUACAAUAAGAUUCUGAACUUAUUUCCUUGUAUCCCUAAGAUGAAAAGUUAUUGUUCCUUUCAGCAUUCAAUGGCUUACUCUACAGCUUUAUGUUCAUCCUUGUUUGUACAUCCUCUUGCCAUGAUACAUCAGAACGAUGAAUUCAUAAAAUAUAAUUAUUUGUAUCAUGUAGUUCAUAUAUAUAGAACUCUUAAUGUUGAAAACACAUGAGACUCUUGAUGUUUAUGCCUCUUUUAAAUGAACCUUACAAUUUUCCUCAAUAAAUGCCAUUUUGCUUCUGCUUAGUGUAGAGAGUAGUAUAUGUUACUGAUUACUCAGAGAGCUUUGCUGUGUUUUUGGCUUUUGCCAAAACCACUCAGUAAGUUGAACAAAGUGGUGGUUUUCACCAAACAGAAAGCUGAAGAUACUAAUGCCAUUUUGGAGUAAUUCUCCCACAUUUUCAUCUAAGAGAAAAGUUGAGCAAAAGUAGUAGUAAGACCACCCAUGGCCUAGGCUGGUGACCUCCAUUGCACAUUGGAGGGAUGUCAGCCUAAGGUCGGCCCAAGUGGUUGAGCCUACGUGAUAAUUUGUGGUAGCGAUUUCUUGUCAGUUAAGAAAUUGAUUAGAGCAUUGUAUCUCUGGCUACAGAGUUCACAGCAGAAGCCACUAGCUUAGAAAUCAUGCCUAGUCCAGAUGCACACUCAAUCAAAUAGAAAUAGCUAGCUACUCCAAUACUCCACCAGCACAUGCACUGAGCAGACCCUAAUGUCUUGUGGCUCAGUAAAGCCAACUGCCAGUCCUCUGAGCCAUCCAACUAGCUAUUUGUCUUUAAAUGAUAACUCCUGUCUAUAUGAUUUUGUAUGCUUCCAUCCUUCCUGGGAAAAGAAGAAUUUUCCUUUGUAUCCCUAAGAUGAAAAAAUAUUCUUCCUUUCAGCAUUC